AAAGGGGCUUCGGCUCCGAGUAAAGCGGCGGACGGGUGCGUAACACGUGGAUAAUCUGCCUCGUGCGGGGGACAACAGUCCGAAAGGACUGCUAAUACCGCAUGUCAGGUCGGAAACUCCGGUUUCUGACGAAAAAGAGGGCGCCCGCAAGGGGCUCUCACCACGAGAUGAGUCCGCGUCCCAUCAGCUAGUUGGCGGUGUAAUAGACCACCAAGGCUUAGACGGGUAGCUGGUCUGAGAGGAUGACCAGCCACACUGGGACUGAGACACGGCCCCAGACUCCUACGGGAGGCAGCAGUGGGGAAUAUUGGACAAUGGGCGAAAGCCUGAUCCAGCCAUGCCGCGUGAGUGAUGAAGGCCUUCGGGUCGUAAAAGCUCUGUGGGGAGGGACGAAAAAGCGUGACCUAACUACGUCUCGCCUUGACGGUACCUCCUUAGCAAGCACCGGCUAACUCCGUGCCAGCAGCCGCGGUAAUACGGAGGGUGCAAACGUUGCUCGGAAUUAUUGGGCGUAAAGCGCACGUAGGC
rnacentral:rRNA from 1 species